rnacentral:rRNA from 1 species
UACGAAGGGGGCUAGCGUUGUUCGGAAUUACUGGGCGUAAAGCGCACGUAGGCGGCUUUGCAAGUUAGAGGUGAAAGCCCGGGGCUCAACUCCGGAAUUGCCUUUAAAACUGCAUCGCUAGAAUUGUGGAGAGGUAAGUGGAAUUCCGAGUGUAGAGGUGAAAUGCGCAGAUAUCAGGAGGAACACCAAUGGCGAAGGCAGCUCGCUGGGACGGUACUGACGCUGAGGCGCGAAAGCGUGGGGAGCAAACAGG